AGGACGAACGCUGGCGGCGUGCUUAACACAUGCAAGUCGAGCGGAAAGGCCCUUCGGGGUACUCGAGCGGCGAACGGGUGAGUAACACGUGAGUAAUCUGCCCUUAGCUCUGGGAUAGCUCCGGGAAAACCGGGAUUAAUACCAGAUACGACCACUUUAGACAUCUGCCGUGGUGGAAAGAAUUUCGGCUAAGGAUGAGCUCGCGGCCUAUCAGCUUGUUGGUGGGGUAACGGCCUACCAAGGCGACGACGGGUAGCCGGCCUGAGAGGGCGACCGGCCACGACUGGGACUGAGACACGGCCCAGACUCCUACGGGAGGCAGCAGUGGGGAAUAUUGCGCAAUGGGCGAAAGCCUGACGCAGCGACGCCGCGUGGGGGAUGAAGGCCUUCGGGUUGUAAACCCUUUCAGCAGGGACGAAGCGAAAGUGACGGUACCUGCAGAAGAAGCGCCGGCUAACUACGUGCCAGCAGCCGC
rnacentral:rRNA from 1 species